AAAUCAAUAAAUUGAGGCUCUACUGUAGCGGUAACCGGUCCGCCAAUUAGAAAGUGGCCAGGAGAAAGAGUCUCAAAAUUGUCAAAUUCAGAAGAAAGUGGAGGUGAGAAGGCGUGAAUUUAACAUAGCUUCUAUUUCAGCAAGUAAGGGCAUAAUUAUUUCUAAAAUUUUUUUGGAUGCCGAAGAUCAGAAUGAAUUUAUAUAGAUAUGAAAUUGGGCUUCAUUACAUUGAUUCUCAAAAGGCAUAAUUAUUUCUAAAAUUUUUUUGGAUGCCGAAGAUCAGAAUGAAUUUAUAUAGAUAUGAAAUUGGGCUUCAUUACAUUGAUUCUCAAAAGUAUAAAAUGUUAUGAAAGGGACUUGUUUGAAAUGCAAAGAAGGAGCUAAACUAAUCUUAAGACAUUUAUCAGGUAUAAAAAGUUAAGAAAGUGACUUGGUUUAAAUGCAAAGAAGGAGCUAAACUAAUCUUAAGACAUUAAUCAGGUAUAAAAAGUUAUGAAAUGGAGUUGUUUGAAAUGCAAAGAAGAUAAACUAAUCUUAAGACAUUAAUCAGCUGUGUAUAUUUUGGUAUAAAAAGUUAUGAAAGGGAUUUGGUUGAAAUGCAAAUAAGGAGCUAAACUAAUCUUAAGACAUUAAUGAGGUAUAAAAUGUUAUGACAGGGACUUGCUUGAAAUGCAAAGGAGCUAAACUAGUCUUAAGACGUUAAUCAGGUAUAAAAAGUUACGAUAGGGACUUGGUUCACAUGCAAAGAAGUUGCUAAACUAAUCUUAAGACAUUAAUCAGGUAUAAAAAGUUAUGAAAGGGGCUUGGUUGAAAUGCAACUAAACGAAAGACAUUAAUCAGUUUGGACAAUUUUAUUUUUAUUAAAACACCAGCUGAGAUUUGGUCUUAGUCAAUGAAUUUACAUCUUUCUCAACAUGUUUUAAUGACAGAAAAAUGAAACCUUCUUUGUGUAUAGAGGAAUGUAUAAAAAGUUUUGAAAGUGACUUGGUUUAAAUGCAAAGAAGGAGAUAUACAAAUUUUAAGAUAUUAAUCAGGGCAUAAUUAUUUCUAAAAUUUUUUUGAUGCCGAAGAUCAGAAUGAAUUUAUAUAGAUAUGAAAUUGAGAUUCAUGAUGUGAUACUCAAAAGGCAUAAUUAUUUCUAAAAUUUUUUUGAUGCCGAAGAUCAGAAUGAAUUUAUAUAGGUAUGAAAUUGGGAUUCAUGACAUUGAUACUCAAAAGGCAUAAUUAUUUCUAAAAUUUUUUUCAUGCCGAAGAUCAGAAUGAAUUUAUAUAGGUAUGAAAUUGGGAUUCAUGACAUUGAUACUCAAAAGGCAUAAUUAUUUCUAAAAUUUUUUUGAUGCCGAAGAUCAGAAUGAAUUUAUAUAGGUAUGAAAUUGGGAUUCAUGACAUUGAUACUCAAAAGGCAUAAUUAUUUCUAAAAUUUUUUUCAUGCCGAAGAUCAGAAUGAAUUUAUAUAGGUAUGAAAUUGGGAUUCAUGACAUUGAUACUCAAAAGGCAUAAUUAAUUCUAAAAUUUUUUUGAUGCCGAAGAUCAGAAUGAAUUUAUAUAGAUAUGAAAUUGGGAUUCAUGACAUUGAUACUCAAAAGGCAUAUUUGUUUCUAAAAUUUUUUUGAUGCCCAAGAUCAGAAUGAAUUUAUAUAGAUAUGAAAUUGGUCUUCAUGACACUGAUACUCAAAACAAUAAAGAACGGAAAAUAUUCACAAGCAAUAAAUUCAGAGUUGAAGGGGUAAAUAUUAAAAAAAAGCCCUUUGUUUUCCAACCCAUUGUCCAGUCAUUUUCUUUCAUGUAUUUGA